rnacentral:precursor_RNA from 8 species
AAAGACUCAUCCUUGCUGCCUCACUUCUUGUAUGGCACUGUAGAAUUCACUGUUCCUGAUCACAUUAAAUUGUCAGUGAGUUCUGUGAUGCCGUGCCCGAAGUGACGGACGAUCACCGUGCAAGGCG